rnacentral:lncRNA from 1 species
CGUAAUGAGAGCGCGGCGGGUGGAGGUGGCAGGGCUGUAACAACUCGUGUGACAACUGUGCCCUUAAUUGAGCGUUCUCUGCCUUCCCGGGGGCAUCGGUGCUGCAUCUUGGGAGCUGUAAGGCGUCGAAGAAAUAGUUGAAGACCUGCUUAAAUGCUGCUGGCCCUCACCGUAGCAAGUGCACCGUGAGAGUGCUGAGCACCCGGGCUGUCAUUCCCAGGUGCACGGUCAGCUGCAAGGACUUCACGUYUCCGGGACUAGCAGCUUAGGUGGCUCUUCAAUUCACUUGAGAAAUACCCACCCGGGUAACAUCCCGCGACCCUUUCUGAUUGCCGCUUCUGUGAUUUCUAUAGAGGUGGAGCUACGCUCUGUGUGACCUGUUGCUUCUCGCUGCGAUCAGCUGGCCUCAAGGUAAAGAGCUUUUAUUUAUUUAUUUAUUUAUUUAUUUAUUU